rnacentral:rRNA from 1 species
UACGUAGGGAGCAAGCGUUGUCCGGAAUCAUUGGGCGUAAAGCGCGCGUAGGCGGCCCUGUAAGUCCGUUGUGAAAAGUCAAAGGCUCAACCUUUGAAAGCCGAUGGAUACUGCAGGGCUAGAGUCCGGAAGAGGCGAGUGGAAUUCCUGGUGUAGCCGGUGGAAUGCGCAGAUAUCAGGAGGAACACCAAUAGCGAAGGCAGCUCGCUGGGACGGUAGCUGACGCGUAAGGCGCGAAAAGCGU